rnacentral:rRNA from 1 species
CCCUUAGAUGUCCUGGGCCGCACGCGCGUUACACUGAUGCAUUCAACGAGCUUAUAACCUUGGCCGAGAGGCCUGGGCAAUCUUGUUAACGUGCAUCGUGAUAGGGAUAGAUUAUUGAAAUUAUUAAUCUUGAACGAGGAAUUCCUAGUAAACGCAGAUCAUCAAUCUGCAUUGAUUACGUCCCUGCCCUUUGUACACACCGCCCGUCGCACCUACCGAUUGAAUGGUCCGGUGAAAUCUCGGGACGGCGGCUUGGUCGCUUGCGUCCGACUGCUGAAACUUGAUUAAACCAUAUCAUUUAGAGGAAGGUGAAGUCGUAACA